CUUGUUCUGGAUAAGCGCCAAUGAUGUUAUGCUCCCAAGAAAAGCUCGUAAACCUCUCUUUUGAGAAAAACAUAAAAAUUACCUGUACCUGAAACCGACACAGGUAGGUUGGUAGAGAAUACCAAGGGGCGCGAGAGAACUCUCUCUAAGGAACUCGGCAAACUAGCCCCGUAACUUCGGGAGAAGGGGCGCCCUUUGAAAGAAGGGUCGCAGUGACGAGGUUCUGGCAACUGUUUAUCAAAAACACAGGUCUCCGCAAAGUCGUAAGACAAUAUAUGGGGGCUGACGCCUGCCCAGUGCCGGAAGGUCAAGGAAGUUGGUUAGAAAUUUUUCGAAGCUGACGACCGAAGCCCCGGUGAACGGCGGCUGUAACCAUGACAGUCCUAAGGUAGCGAAAUUCAUUGUCGAGUAAGUUUCGACCUGCACGAAAGGCGUAAUGAUCAGAACGCUGUCUCAGAGAGAGGCUCGGUGAAAUAGACUUGUCCGUGAAGAUGCGGACUACUAAUACUUGGACAGAAAGACCCUAUGAAGCUUGACUGUAUCCUGGAAUUGGGUUCGGGCUUUUCUUGCGCAGUCUAGGUGGGAGGCUAUGAAGAUUUCCUUCCGGGGAAGUUGGAGCCAGCAGUGAGAGACCACUCUGGAGAGGCUAGAAUCCUAAUGGUGAUCCUUGAAUCAGGACACUUGACAGUUUCAGUUGGGCAGUUUUUCUGGGGCGGAAGCCUCAUAAAAGGUAACAGAGGCGCGCAAAGGUUCCCUCAGUCUGGACGGAAAUCAGACAGCGAGUGUAAAGGCAAAAGGGAGCUUGACUGCAAGACCUACAAGUCGAGCAGGAGCGAAAGCUGGCCUUAGUGAUCCGACGGUGCCGUGUGGAAGGGCCGUCGCUCAACGAAUAAAAGUUACUCUAAGGAUAACAGGCUGAUCUUCUCCAAGAGUUCACAUCGACGAGAAGGUUUGGCACCUCGAUGUCGGCUCAUCACAUCCUGGGGCUGGAGUAGGUCCCAAGGGUUGGGCUGUUCGCCCAUUAAAGUGGUACGUGAGCUGGGUUCAGAACGUCGUAAGACAGUUCGGUCCAUAUCCGGUAUUAGCGUUAGAAUAUUGAGGUCAGUCACUCAUAGUACGAGAGGACCUGUAGUGAACAUGCCAAUGGUGUACCUGUUAUUUUUCCAAAAGUAAACGCAGGGUAGCCACGCAUGGAGUGAAUAAGUACUGAAUGCAUCAGAGUACGAAGUCCAGACCAAGAUGAGUAUUCUCCAUGAAGCCGCAGCAAGACAAGCUGUUGUAUAGGUAUCAAGUGGAAGGCCAGUAAUGGUUUGAGCUGAGAUAUACUAAAGGCUCACCC
rnacentral:rRNA from 1 species